GUUGAACUUCAGAGGUCGUAUGGGGAAGGUGUGCUGUUCCUUCUCCUGCCACCCCGCCGGCUUUACGGCUUCAUCAUUUUAAUACAUCUAAAUAACGUGUGGUAACUGAGGAGUGUUGUGCCUGGCUGUGUCUGCUGCAACAUUGAUCAACACAGCAACAUUGACCAGUCUGAGGGGUGGAGACAACCACACUAGUAAAUGAUCUGACCCCUAACAUUUAGUGUUAUACCUGGAGAGGGUUACUUCAGGUAUGUGGAGAUGCAACAGCUGGAGACGUCGUCAGAGGUGGGCGGGGCCCACUUAUAAGAUGUCGAUUCACAGCUCCUGGCCCCGCCUCUUCGCUGGUCGUUACUAGGUCCACUCCCUGCUCCAUGAGUUUUAUCAUACCUGUUCUUAAAGCAAUGUAUGGAUCCUGCCUCCACUACAUCACUCUCCAGAUUGUUCCACGUCUGACAACUCUAAAGCUGAAGCAAUACUUCCCAACAUCCCUGUGCGUGUGUGUUAGCCUUCGAUCCAGUAAAGAAGCAAUCUUCGUACAUCCAUUCUGGC